rnacentral:rRNA from 1 species
UGAACCAGUACCGUGAGGGAAAGGUGAAAAGAACCCCGGGAGGGGAGUGAAAGAGAACCUGAAACCGUGUGCUUACAAGUAGUCAGAGCCCUUUAGGGGGUGAUGGCGUGCCUUUUGUAGAAUGAACCGGCGAGUUACUUUAUCAUGCGAGGUUAAGUGGAAGACAUGGAGCCGAAGCGAAAGCGAGUCUUAAUAGGGCGAAAUAGUAUGAUGGAGUAGACCCGAAACCAAGUGAUCUACCCAUGGCCAGGUUGAAGUUUAGGUAACACUGAAUGGAGGACCGAACCAGGACACGUUGAAAAGUGUUUGGAUGAGCUGUGGGUAGCGGAGAAAUUCCAAUCGAACUUGGAAAUAGCUGGUUCUCUCCGAAAUAGCUUUAGGGCUAGCCUCGUUGUGAGUUUACUGGAGGUAGAGCACUGUUUGGACUAGGGGCCCAUCCCGGGUUACCGAAUUCAGACAAACUCCGAAUGCCAGAUAAAUAUCAACGGGAGUCAGACUGCGGGUGAUAAGGUUCGUAGUCGAAAGGGAAACAGCCCAGACCGCCAGCUAAGGUCCCAAAUUGUAUGUUAAGUGGAAAAGGAUGUGAUGAUGCACAGACAACCAGGAUGUUGGCUUAGAAGCAGCCACCAUUUAAAGAGUGCGUAAUAGCUCACUGGUCGAGUGACAUCGCGCCGAAAAUGUACCGGGGCUAAACAUACAACCGAAGCUGCGGAUAUAACUAAUGUUAUAUGGUAGGAGAGCGUUCUAACAUCAUAGAAGCCGAGCUGGAAGGCGAGGUGGAGAGGUUAGAAGUGAGAAUGCCGGUGUGAGUAGCGAAAGAUAGGUGAGAAUCCUAUCCACCGAAAGACUAAGGUUUCCAGAGGAAGGCUCGUCCGCUCUGGGUAAGUCGGGACCUAAGGUGAAGCCGACAGGUGAAGCCGAUGGACAACAGGUAGAAAUUCCUGUACCACCAAAUAUCGAUUGAGAGAAGUGGGGACAGAGGAGGCUAAUUGAUCGUCCUGAUGGAAUAGGACGUCUAAGCACAAAGGUUGAGUAGUAGGCAAAUCCGCUACUUGGAAGACUGAAGUGUGAUGGGGAGCGAAAUUAAAGUAGCGAAGUCAAUGAAGCCAAACUCUCAAGAAAAGCCGCUAUCGAGAUAAGAGGUGCCCGUACCGCAAACCGACACAGGUAGUUGGGAAGAGAAUUCUAAGGUGAGCGAGAGAACCAUCGUUAAGGAACUCGGCAAAAUGACCCCGUAACUUCGGGAGAAGGGGUGCCUACGAGAGUAGGCCGCAGUGAAUAGGCCCAAGCGACUGUUUAUCAAAAACACAGGUCUCUGCAAAACCGAAAGGUGAAGUAUAGGGGCUGACGCCUGCCCGGUGCUGGAAGGUUAAGAGGAGUGCUUAGAGGUAACUCGAAGGUAUGAAUUGAAGCCCCAGUAAACGGCGGCCGUAACUAUAACGGUCCUAAGGUAGCGAAAUUCCUUGUCGGGUAAGUUCCGACCCGCACGAAAGGCGUAAUGAUUUGGGCACUGUCUCAACGAGAGACUCGGUGAAAUUUUAGUACCUGUGAAGAUGCAGGUUACCCGCGACAGGACGGAAAGACCCCAUGGAGCUUUACUG